rnacentral:rRNA from 1 species
CACGUAGGGUGCGAGCGUUGUCCGGAAUUACUGGGCGUAAAGCGUGCGCAGGCGGUUGUGCAAGACAGAUGUGAAAUCCCCGGGCUCAACCUGGGAAUUGCAUUUGUGACUGCACGGCUAGAGUGUGUCAGAGGGGGGUAGAAUUCCACGUGUAGCAGUGAAAUGCGUAGAUAUCUGGAGGAAUACCGGUGGCGAAGGCGGCAUCCUGGACCGACAUUGACGCUGAACGGCGAAAGCUAGGGGAGCAAACGGG